GGCUGUGAGCGGUCACAGGUUAAGUUACAUAUAAAGCAAUAAGUUAAGCUCCCCCAGCUAAAAUUCAUAAUGCUGGGGCCGCUGGUUCAAGUCCAGCCAUAGCUACCA
rnacentral:tRNA from 1 species